CCUACGGGGUGCAGCAGUGGGGAAUAUUGCACAAUGGGGGAAACCCUGAUGCAGCGACGCCGCGUGAGUGAAGAAGUAAUUCGUUACGUAAAGCUCUAUCAGCAGGGAAGAAAAUGACGGUACCUGAGUAAGAAGCCCCGGCUAACUACGUGCCAGCAGCCGCGGUAAUACGUAGGGGGCAAGCGUUAUCCGGAUUUACUGGGUGUAAAGGGAGCGUAGACGGGGCGGCAAGUCAGGAGUGAAAUGCCGCAGCUUAACUGCAGAACUGCUUUGGAAACUGGCGAACUAGAGUGCGGGAGGGGUAGGUGGAAUUCCUGGUGUAGCGGUAAAAUGCGUAGAGAUUAAGAGGAACACCGGUGGCGAAGGCGACUUACUGGACCGUAACUGACGUUGAGGCUCGAAAGCGUGGGGAGCAAACAGGAUUAGAUACCCUGGUAGUC
rnacentral:rRNA from 1 species